rnacentral:rRNA from 1 species
AGACGGAGGGUGCAAGCGUUGUUCGGAAUCACUGGGCAUAAAGCGCGUGUAGGCGGUCUGAUCAGUCGAGCGUGAAAGCCCGAGGCUCAACUUCGGAAGUGCACUCGAAACUGUCAGGCUUGAGUACGGGAGAGGGAAGUGGAAUUCCUGGUGUAGAGGUGAAAUUCGUAGAUAUCAGGAGGAACACCGGUGGCGAAGGCGGCUUCCUGGACCGAUACUGACGCUGAGACGCGAAAGCGUGGGGAGC